rnacentral:pre_miRNA from 1 species
AUGUUGACAGAAGAGAGAGAGCACAACCCGCCAUCGGCUAAGGAGAGUCUUUACGUUGCUGGGAGUGUGCUUUCUCUUCUUCUGUCAUCAU